UACGUAGGGGCCUAGCGUUGUCCGGAUUUAUUGGGCGUAAAGAGCUCGUAGGCGGUUCGGCAAGUCGGAUGUGAAAUCUCCACGCUUAACGUGGAGGGGCCAUUCGAAACUGCCGUGACUCGAGUCCGGUAGGGGAGUGUGGAAUUCCCGGUGUAGCGGUGAAAUGCGCAGAUAUCGGGAGGAACACCAGUGGCGAAGGCGACUACCUGGCCUGUUCUUGACGCUGAGGCGCGAAAGCUAGGGGAGCAAACGGG
rnacentral:rRNA from 1 species